rnacentral:lncRNA from 1 species
GUAUUGAUUAUUGGAUAAAAACCUAAAGACUUGCUGUAUUUACAGGACGUAGUUUAAACAGAGACAAAACAAUCCUAUUUUUAGCCAAUGUAAGGUAGUUCCUUAAGAAGUCAGUCAGUGCCUUGAGGUGGUGCCACUGGGCUUUGAUGCCAGCAUUUGGGAGUCAGGCAGGUAGAUCCCUGAGUUCAAGGCCAGCCUGGUCUACAGAGUGAGUUCCAGUACAACCAGGGCUACACAAAUUAACCCUGUCUUGAAAAACCAAAAAUAAAUAAGAAGUGCAUUUUAAAAAGUUGUUAUUCGGAGACAUUAAAGUCUUAAUACUUGUGGAAAAUGUGAUUCAUUGGCAUUUAAAAAGCUAUGUUCUUCUUGGCUAGCAAGACAGCUCAGUGGGUAAGGUCUUAGCACAUAAGCCCCGUGACCUCAGUUUUAUCCCCAGAACUCACAUCAAGGUGGUAGCCCCUCCCCCAAUCCAUAUAAUGC